rnacentral:rRNA from 1 species
GAGGAGCUCGCGGCCCAUUAGCUUGUUGGUGGGGUAACGGCCUACCAAGGCAACGAUGGGUAGCUGGUCUGAGAGGACGAUCAGCCACACUGGGACUGAGACACGGCCCAGACUCCUACGGGAGGCAGCAGUGGGGAAUCUUGCGCAGUGCGCGAAAGCGUGACGCAGCAACGCCGCGUGGGGGAAGACGGCCUUCGGGUUGUAAACCCCUUUCAGGAGGGACGAAGGUUCGCCGGUGAAUAGCCGUGCGGAUUGACGGUACCUCCACAAGAAGCUCCGGCUAACUACGUGCCAGCAGCCGCGGUAAUACGUAGGGAGCAAGCGUUGUCCGGAAUCAUUGGGCGUAAAGCGCGCGUAGGUGGCCUCAUAAGUCCGCUGUGAAAGUCAAAGGCUCAACCUUUGAAAGCCGGUGGAUACUGUGAGGCUAGAGUACGGAAGAGGCGAGUGGAAUUCCUGGUGUAGCGGUGGAAUGCGCAGAUAUCAGGAGGAACACCAAUAGCGAAGGCAGCUCGCUGGGACGUUACUGACACUGAGGCGCGAAAGCGUGGGGAGCGAACAGGAUUAGAUACCCUGGUAGUCCACGCCGUAAACGAUGGGUACUAGGUGU